AUGAAAUCACGCAUAUCAACCUGUGUAAGCCAGGAUUCAACUGAGAUCAUAAUAUAUCGCCCCAGGUGCAUAAAUAAAAGCUCAGUUCACAAAAGCCGUUAUUUAUAUAAAAGUGUCUGAUGAUUAAAGAAAGCAAAGCGACUUAGAGAUGAGGGAAAAAGUUAUCUUUUGGUACUGAUCGGUCUCAUUGAAAAAUGUAAUAAACCACAGGUAAAAAUAAGCAAAAUCUAAAAAUAAAAGAAAAGACCAAAUCCAGUUGGGAAGCAUUAUAUUCAACAAAAGGACAAACUUUUGGAGACAUCUAUGUUUAAAAGUGUAGCUUUUACAAGAACAUACUUCUACAGGGUGCAUCAAGCAUGGAUAUGUGGAGAUGGUGCUUUUACUUUAUUUCUUUACACUUUUUUUUUCUUGAUAAGUUUCUGACAAGGUACUUUAAACACAUAUGAAUACCACAGGUAACAUUAUGUCUAUAUAUCAAAUGACAUCUCAAUUAGCGCUAGGGUAUAACAUAUUCGAAGUGAGAUUGGCACAUCAUAGAAUCAGCAAAUAUCAACAAAAAUUCACAAUAUCAACAAAAUUCACAAUAAUAACAUGAAAGUAAAUAGAAAAUUGAAAUAUGCGCAUGCAUACAACAAUUAACAUUAUCAUUUAAUUUGCAAUAUAAGUUACCAUCUUUGAAUUCACUCACAAAUUCAAUUGAUUCUCACUCUAGAAACAUCAGUACAAUAAGAUAUGUCUUAACUCUUUUACUACAAUAAGAUAUGUCUUAACUCUUUUACUUUCUUGCUGUAUCAAUUUUGUUUUUUUCUUUUCUCCUGUUUUUCCUCCUAAGAGAAAAGUUGUUUUCUCCAUCCCAACUCACUUAAAGGGAGAAUGGGGGAAAAAAUACAAGGAGCAGUGACGCAGUCUAGAAAGAUGAAGAUUCAAAUACAAUUUAGAAAUUAUUUCUAUCGGAAAAUUAGGGGUUUUAUAUUGGGAAAUUUAAUUAG
rnacentral:misc_RNA from 1 species